AAUUGAUGAGAAUAUUUUUCGUAGAUCUAUCAUCAUUCAAAGAGGUUGAGAAAAUAUUUUUGUAUUUUUUGAAUAUCAAAAACUAUUUAAAAUGAAUUAAAAAUAACCAGAAAAGAGAAAAUUAUUAAAAAAUAGCAAAUCAUAAAAUAAAAAAUAUUAAAAAUCAUUUUUGGAAACUAGAAAUUAAAAGAGAAAUAAUGCAAUUGGUCCCAUAAUUUUUGGACCAAUAAUGAAAGAGAUAUGAAUUUUAGAAAAUGAAAUGGAAUUAAAACAAAUAAAAG
rnacentral:lncRNA from 1 species